rnacentral:rRNA from 1 species
AUUGAACGCUGGCGGCAGGCCUAACACAUGCAAGUCGAGCGAGCGGCGGACGGGUGAGUAAUGUAUGGGGAUCUGCCCGAUAGAGGGGGAUAACUACUCGAAAGAGUGGCUAAUACCGCAUACUAUUGGAGCGGCCGAUAUCGGAUUAGCUAGUUGGUGGGGUAAAGGCUCACCAAGGCAACGAUCCGUAGCUGGUUUGAGAGGACGACCAGCCACACUGGGACUGAGACACGGCCCAGACUCCUACGGGAGGCAGCAGUGGGGAAUUUUGGACAAUGGGGGAAGCCCUGAUCCAGCCAUCCCGCGUGUAUGAGAAGGCUUUCGGGUUGUAAACCUCUUUCGCUAUCGAACGGGUAGGUGGAGAAGAAGCGCCGGCUAACUACGUGCCAGCAGCCGCGGUAAUAC